rnacentral:rRNA from 1 species
UUUUGACCUCGGAUCAGGUAGGGAUACCCGCUGAA